UCAGAGAUGAUGGCGGAGGCAAGAGGACCUGUUAUUUCGUGUAGAUGCAGCAAAACCGAAGACUGUCAGGGUAUUUGCACCGCGUGCCCCAACUAUAGCUGCAUUAAUAACCUUUGUACUUGCCUUUCAAACGCACCUCCAUUUCCAUAGUCUUAGAAUCUACACACUCCAACAGUUGAAUGAAAUGGUGGGAUUUUUUUGUGUAAUUUGAAAUAAAUUAUCAUGCAAUGGAUCUAAUAAGAAAAAAUAUUGUAAUUAUUGUAAUUUUAAUUUUCUUUUUACCCUUCUCUGCCCCUCCCCCUCUUUCUAGUAGCGAAAAGUAUGUUACAUUUCAAAUAUAUAAAAAUUGUUACAAUCUUGUUUUAAAACUAAAAGAAAUAACAUUAAGAACAAAAGAUAGGAGAAAAAUUAAGACACAAAAUGAGAGGAUAAUUCUUCUUUCUACUUGUAUCUCAUAAGCUCGUAUAUGGCUUCAAUCUAUAGGGCUUCAACAAUGAUAGGCUAAAAAUAAUAUAAAUAGGAAUAUCAAAACUCGCAAUAAAUUGAAUGGGUAUUUCAUAAGUUGCAAGUUCCACCGUAUUUUUUUGGUAGGGACAUUUUGUUAAUUUAUUAACAACACUCUGCACUAGAUGUGUAUCAAAUGGAAACGUGCUCUGUUAAAACUUUAUUAGAAAAAAUUGCAUAAGCACCUAUUAUAAGCUAAAACAUUAAAAACAUUUUCUAGGAAAACUUAACUGGACAAUACCUUGGGUAAAGGAAAGAGUAAACAUGUUUUAGACUCCCCCUAAUUUUAAAAAUAUUGAAACAUGCUACAAAUUUUGAAUCAGUUUUUUGUUACUAAAUACUUCGUCAAAGAGAAUCAUACUAUGAAGACAUGCCUUUUUAAUUACAAUGAUAACCAUUGAGUUUCAUUGCAUACUCUAGGUUCAUUUGCCAAUAACUCUUUUGCACAUCAUAAUAUAGGUUGGGGCGAAUAAAACUUUAAAUAAAGCGACAUUAAUACAAGCAUUAAAGCCUCCAUUAAUUUCUUAUAAGUUUAUAUUUAUAUCCACAAUCAACAUUUUUCUUAUGCGGACAUGAUACCUUGCUAUUGCAUAUGACUUAAGGAAAACUGUAUAUUAAAUUUAGCCUCCUAGCUUUGGAGAUUUCUACAUCCUAUCUCUCUUUCUUACUCCGUUGCAAGGAUGUUCAUGUAGCCCACUUGAUAGAUAGUUGUAUGGUUUCUUUAUUCUUAUUGAAACACAUAUCGAGUCUUUCUUGACAUCACUGUGACUUUAAUAGUCAUUACCAAUAUGGUUUGACUCUUGCAGGUUUUGAGUACAUUGGCGUGUCAUUCGGCCCAAUUAAAGGCUAUUAUUGUUGUUUCAAUUUGAGCUCGGUCUCUUCUAGUUUUUCUUCUUCUUUUCUCAUUUUGGUUUCCUACCCUUUAUAUGCUUGUUGUAGUAUUUUUCCUUAAGUUAAUUUUGGAAAUACAUAGAGUCUAUUGAAUGGAGUGCCAUUAAUCUUAUCAACAUUAUAUCUCAUCAUCUUCUUGCUUGUUUUUAGGAUCUUUAUGGCCAUGGUUAGACAAGAGUGUAUCUAUCUUGUAACACUUAUUUUGGGAGAUGCAAUGUGCACAUUUUCUAUAAGUCCUACACUUUUACCUGUUGUGUCAAUGAGGCCAUCUUUAGGUAUUUCCCCUCUAUUUAUUUCAUUAGUCAAAUUGGAUGUACUUUUAUGAACUUAAAAUCAAACAAUCACUUUUUGCUUUUUUGUAACCUCUCUUUUCAGGUCUGAUAACAUUGAUCACGAAGUUGAGCUCCUCCGUGGAUAGCCUUGGUUGUUUGUUUCCAUUUAUUCACAAUCUUUUGCAACAAAUUUUGACAUUUUAAUUGUAGUGAUAGUUUUAUUAGCCUUGUAGCGAGCCCAAGAUACCAACUGCUCCCACACAUGAUUUUGAAUUUUAAAUACUUUAUUUAAAUGAUUUUGAUGUUUAGAAAUUUAAAAAAUAAACUGAUUUUCUUCUAAAUUUUAUAACUUAGCGAUCCGCUGCUUGGGAUAGGAAGAACUUAAACCCUAGGCCCGACAAACCUAGGAAGUCAUCUAGGUGAGAAUUAACCCAAAAUUGGUAUUGCCUAUCCAUGAACCUCUUACCUCAAGUUUGUCUAGACUGUGAGGUCGAAAGAUAAGUAGUUGUUGCCAACUUAUUAGUUUAGUGGAAGAUCGAGAGAUCCUACUAGGUUAGCUGCUAAUUGAUUGAGUAGAACAUAAAAUAGGAUUUAGUUAUGACCACUGAAGCUAGCUAAUCACUCAUGCUUAGAUUUUAUUGAAUCACAUAUUAGUUCUCCAUCUUUUUUAUUUUAUGCAAGUUUAUUUCUUUUCUUAUAAAAACAACUAUUUUUCAUUUUAUGAUCAUCAUACUAUAAUUUAUUUAAAUUAUUAAUUAGAUCUAUUUGCGUUUAGGUUAAUAUUAAUUUAGUACUUGUCUCCCUUGGGUACGAUCCUCGAGUACUCACCUACUUCAUUGUAAAACUAUAUUACAACCUAACUCGUAUACUUGAGGACACCGCCUCAAUUCAAUAUAUACUUUUAGCAAUAUUCACACUCUGGAUUCUAGUACGUCCGAAGGCGGUCACUUUCCAAAGUGGCGCGUAGUUUAUCUGCAAAUCAGCGGUGGCUCGUCUACAAUACGGAGUGAUAUGUUAGACGAGUUCUGGGGAAUUCAUACGUGAGGUGUGUAGCGGAGUUGGGUAGGACUUUUCUGUUAAUUUGAAACUUCAAUGCAUUCAUAAGAAUGUGCAUAUAAAUUGUGAAUACCAAUAUCGUGAAGUGAAGCGUUUUAUGUGAAAAAUCGUUAAUCUGAGGUGCUUUAUGGUUGUCUUUAAUCUCAGGAUUGCUAAUUCAUGUGCCUUAUUGGUUUGUUGUUUUAUUUUGAUUUUCUUGUGACUGAACUCACACUGAGCUUCAUAGCUCACUGCCCUUUAGUUCCCAUCCUUAUAGAUAACCCACCAGGUUAGGAUGCGACAUAUGGAGGGCUCGAAAAAGUUUUAAUGUUAUGAAAGUAUUGUUAUGCUUAUUUUAAAUUUUAUGUUAUUUCGGAACUGUACUGUAUUAUUUAUUUUCUGGCAUUGGAUUCAUAUUUAGGCUUUGGUUUUAUAUUGCAAGCAUGACAUAUAAAUUGUUGUUUUUAAGAUGAUGAAAUAUGGAUUUCAAUUAAAUAUGCAUGAAAUAUAGAUGUUAGUAAAACUCAAGAAAAGCCAUUUUUCCGCUGAAAGGUCAUAAUUAAAUUUUGUCUAAUAACUAGAAUGUAACUAUGUUUCCAAUAGUUAUCACCUUUUACAAGAAAAAUAUUAGUUUAAUUGUAUUUUAUAUACCCAUGAUUUGUUUUCUAAAAAUAGACAAAGUCUUUGUAAAGAUAAAAAAUUGUUUUAAUGUGACUAUUUAAAAUCUUCGAUUGCACUAGGCCAUCACGGUGGCCGAUGUAAUCUCCCGAACUCGGGCCUACCGUCUAGGCCAAUUUGGGGAGGUUACAAUUUCAAUGCCAUGAAGUACUAAAACCAUAUUUUCAAUCAUCUCCAGCAUAGAUUAUUUCAUGUUGAUUUGAGUUGAAUUAAAAUAUUUAAUUUGAACUUAUAAAUUAGCCAUAUUUAAGGGAAAAAAGUGGUUUUACUUCAAACAAAAAGAAGAGAUAAAUUGUUACCAACUAAAUUGAUGAACAAGAACUUGAUAUGAUAUAUACGUGAAUACAAUAAAAAUACAUUAAUUGCGCUACAAUUGUGUAUAAUAUCCUUUUUAUUUAGUUAUAUUGUGUUUGUACAAAAUUAGUAAAGAUAAAAUACUAUGCAUCAAAUAUGUUCAAUUCUAAUUCUAAUUCUAAUUCUAAUUCUAAUUCCAAUUCCAAUUUGAGUUUGAACUUGAUUUGGUACACAAAAAUUGAGCAUGAUGUCAAGUAUGAGAAUCCAACUCAAGUCUUAUCAAAUAAACAAGCCUAAUUAAAUUUAGUAAAGCUAAUUAAAGCAGUUUAAUCUUUAUCUCGUAUCAAGUUUAUAUUUUAAAAGUUAAACUCAAUGAAGUUAUAUUGGAGCAUUCAAUUCUCUAGGUUUCUAUGGAGAUUGAGAUUGAAUUUCUUGGAUCAGUUCAACCCCAUUAAAUAACUUUUAAUUUUUUAUUUUGAUGCAAUAGUUAAUAUUAUUGCCAAACUCAUAUAAGUGGUUGUGUAAGAAGGGGUCUGGUUUUUUCGUCUGCUUUCUCUCAGUACUAUCUCCCAAAUUUUAAUGCUUUUAGUAUUUUAAUAUUUGAAAAUUAUUAAAAAAAUUUUGUCUAGCAAGAAAAAUAUAAUUUAAUCUUUUCUUCUUCUAGACCACAAAUAAAAAAAAUUGGAACAUAUUUCCCAUUUGUUUCUAAACGGUUGGACUAAUAAUCAACUUAUUGGCAUCAUGCAUUCCAGAUUUGGUAACAUUAAUUUCCAUGACUACACAUAUAAGUGGUUGUGUAGGAAGGGGUCAGCUUUUUUUGUCUGCUUUCUCUCAGUACUAUCUCAAAAAUUUUAAUGCUUUUAGUAUUUUAAUAUUUGAAAAUUAUUAAAAAAAUUUGUCUAGCAAGAAAAAUAUAAUUUAAUCUUUUCUUCUCCUAGACCACAAAUAUAAAAAAUUGGAACAUAUUUCCCAUUUGUUUCUAAACGGUUGGAGUAAUAAUCAACUUAUUGGCAUCAUGCAUUCCAGAUUUGGUAACAUUAAUUUCCAUGACUACACUUAGAACAAAAUAAUGAUAAUUAGUAAACAAAAUUCCCAUAAAUCUUCUCAAGGAUGUUUUGCUGAAUUACUUUCCUUUUAGACAUAGUUUCAUAAGGAAAAAAAUAAAAACGUAAUAAUCUCAAAGAAUCCAAAGAAAUUAGUAUUGCUGCAUGCAACACAAAAUAAGAUACUAUAUAUAUUAAAUUCAUAAGCUAUAAAAUUCCACCAACAUAGUUAAUUAGAUAUAAAGAGAUGGCAAAGUUUUCUUUCAAUUUGUUUAUAUUUGCUGUCAUCUUAAUCUUUGCAACUCGUUAGUUUCUUCCUAUGCAGCUCUUUUCUUUCCUUUGGUAUGAAUAUUAUGUUUUUGUUUAAUUUAACACAAGGGAAUUUUUGUUGUAGACUCAGAGAUGAUGGCGGAGGCAAGAGGACCUGUUAUUUCAUGUAGAUGCAGACAAACCGAAGACUGUCAGGGUAUUUGCGCCGCGUGCCCCAACUAUAGCUGCAUUAAUAACCUUUGUACUUGCCUUUCAAACGCACCUCCAUUUCCAUAGUCUUAGAAUCUACACACUCCAACAGUUGAAUGAAAUGGUGGGAUUUUUUUGCAUAAUUUGAAAUAAAUUAUCAUGCAAUGGAUCUAAUAA
rnacentral:lncRNA from 1 species